ensembl:lncRNA
AACAGAUUGUAAGGUUUGUCAGACAUAUAAAUGACAGCAUAUGCACAACAAUUUUGGUGAGAUGAUCUGCUUUUGGAAAUUUCCAGUUUUACUCAUUAAAACCAUACUAAAAUUAGAAGCAAAGAUUUUAGUUACAAUACGACUUUUAAAAACUAUAUGUCAAGGUUUGUUAUCAUAAGGCACAGUACGACUCAGCUCCUCAGCUGCAUAGAGCACAGCUUCUGCUUUGUGAGCAGAGACUUAGAAUCAAGUGGACACUAAUGAUUUUAUGGUGAGGAAACCAAAUUUUGUCUUUUCUUUUUCAGUGCCAUGGUUAAGAGAUGCCUGGUAAUGACAUACAACUUUGCAAGGAGAAAGAGGAGGGUAGAGAAGCAAGGGUUUGACCUCCUGCCCUGCAGGACUUCAGGCUUGGCUGCAGGCACAUACCGCCAAGAUCAUCUAAAUAACAUGGAGCAAGCAGCAUCGAAUAGGGUGAUUUCUGCCUUUAGCUACAAAGCAAAUAAACAAAAUGAAGUGCAAUCCAGCAUAAGCAGUAGAGAUGUCCUUAGAAGAGAAUCCUGGGCUGCUCCAGGUGGUACGUAGGGGCUGACCUGGGUGACCUGCUUCACCGAUUUAUUUUUUGUUACUAUCAAUAUAGGAUGUCAGGAUGGAUGUAGCUGAACUGGUUCUGCCAAUGAUUUUACCAAAAGGAAAAACAAAAGCCAGCCCUGUGAGACACUGGUUCAGCAGCUGACACCAGUUUUCAACAGGAGAUUGUUUUGUAGGAUGCACAGGCCCCGGGGGCCAGUGUUUCAGAGCCGCUCCAGCUGAGGCAGUCGGAACCAGCACGACAGCAUGCUGAACACUCAUUCAGAUAGGAUCUGAUGCUGAGAGGUACCUAGUACCCACAGCCCUGACAAAUAUUCAGGGCUUUGGGACCGUUCUGAAUUAACAUCAGGCUUACUGUCAGCUCUUCCUCUCUCCCGCCUCCCUCCUAUUUUAUUACCAACAGUAAUCCCAUUCUGGGAAUCCUAAAUCACGUUACAUGAUUUUUUCUCUCCUAUUAUCAGUUCUCCUCUGUGGGAAUAGCUGGCAAGUGCCAAAUUUAUUCUGUACAAAUUGUUUUAAGAGAAGACUGAUGUUCUUCAAUCUUUCUUUAAAUUGAACGUUGUAUCUUGCCGGUGAGGACUGCCUAUUGGAGGCUUUUGACUUGCCACGCUCCUAACCUGAGCAAAGAAUGAGAUUGAUGCGCCACAUUACAGAAUAGAUGUUCUGAACAGCUGGGAGCAUAGCUCACAGCCACUUAGUGCAUUUCUUCAUUUUUAAUAUCUCUUCUGUUACCCUUUAACAAACUGCAGCCCAAUUACUCCAGGGGGCAGGUAAAGGGCUGACCCUCUAACGUUGCUUCAUCAAUCAUGAUCAAUACCCUUGUUUGCGCUAAGGAUGUCUUGAAAGACUACGUGUGCUCUGCGAGAGGAGGAGAGCAGGACAGAUACCCAGCCAUACCGCAGCGCUUACCACAAGAAAUGUCAUUUACAAGGCAAUGAAUGAGAGAACAAUCACAUGAUGAUUUGUACUGCCUACUCUAAAUAUUACUGACUAG